rnacentral:snRNA from 1 species
GUGCUCGCUUCGGCAGUACAUACACAAAAAUUGGAAUGAUAGAGAGAAGAUUAGUAUGGCCCCUGCGCAAGGAUGACACACAAAUUCAUGAAGCGUUCCAUAUUUUU